rnacentral:rRNA from 1 species
AUUGAACGCUGGCGGCAGGCCUAACACAUGCAAGUCGAGCGGAUGAAGGGAGCUUGCUCCUGGAUUCAGCGGCGGACGGGUGAGUAAUGCCUAGGAAUCUGCCUGGUAGUGGGGGAUAACGUCCGGAAACGGGCGCUAAUACCGCAUACGUCCUGAGGGAGAAAGUGGGGGAUCUUCGGACCUCACGCUAUCAGAUGAGCCUAGGUCGGAUUAGCUAGUUGGUGGGGUAAAGGCCUACCAAGGCGACGAUCCGUAACUGGUCUGAGAGGAUGAUCAGUCACACUGGAACUGAGACACGGUCCAGACUCCUACGGGAGGCAGCAGUGGGGAAUAUUGGACAAUGGGCGAAAGCCUGAUCCAGCCAUGCCGCGUGUGUGAAGAAGGUCUUCGGAUUGUAAAGCACUUUAAGUUGGGAGGAAGGGCAGUAAGUUAAUACCUUGCUGUUUUGACGUUACCAACAGAAUAAGCACCGGCUAACUUCGUGCCAGCAGCCGCGGUAAUACGAAGGGUGCAAGCGUUAAUCGGAAUUACUGGGCGUAAAGCGCGCGUAGGUGGUUCAGCAAGUUGGAUGUGAAAUCCCCGGGCUCAACCUGGGAACUGCAUCCAAAACUACUGAGCUAGAGUACGGUAGAGGGUGGUGGAAUUUCCUGUGUAGCGGUGAAAUGCGUAGAUAUAGGAAGGAACACCAGUGGCGAAGGCGACCACCUGGACUGAUACUGACACUGAGGUGCGAAAGCGUGGGGAGCAUACAGGAUUAGAUACCCUGGUAGUCCACGCCGUAAACGAUGUCGACUAGCCGUUGGGAUCCUUGAGAUCUUAGUGGCGCAGCUAACGCGAUAAGUCGACCGCCUGGGGAGUACGGCCGCAAGGUUAAAACUCAAAUGAAUUGACGGGGGCCCGCACAAGCGGUGGAGCAUGUGGUUUAAUUCGAAGCAACGCGAAGAACCUUACCUGGCCUUGACAUGCUGAGAACUUUCCAGAGAUGGAUUGGUGCCUUCGGGAACUCAGACACAGGUGCUGCAUGGCUGUCGUCAGCUCGUGUCGUGAGAUGUUGGGUUAAGUCCCGUAACGAGCGCAACCCUUGUCCUUAGUUACCAGCACCUCGGGUGGGCACUCUAAGGAGACUGCCGGUGACAAACCGGAGGAAGGUGGGGAUGACGUCAAGUCAUCAUGGCCCUUACGGCCAGGGCUACACACGUGCUACAAUGGUCGGAACAAAGGGUUGCCAAGCCGCGAGGUGGAGCUAAUCCCAUAAAACCGAUCGUAGUCCGGAUCGCAGUCUGCAACUCGACUGCGUGAAGUCGGAAUCGCAAGUAAUCGUGAAUCAGAAUGACACGGUGAAUACGUUCCCGGGCCUUGUACACACCGCCCGUCACACCAUGGGAGUGGGUAGCUCCAGAAGUAGCUAGUCUAACCGCAAGGGGGACGGUUACCACGGAGUGAUUCAUGACUGGGGUG